AUGCAAGUGACCAGAAGGGUGAACAUUCAACUUCCACAUGAAGCAAAUUGAAUUUUGUACAAAAAUCACAGCUUAAAAAAAAGCAUGAUAUCUUUGGCAGAUAUGGAUCUAUUCAACAAAUCAGGGUUGGGAAAUACCAACAAAGCAUUUCAAAAGAUAGGCCCAAAGAGGCAAAAGAAACAGAUGAAACUAAUCAAGGAGUGAUGUGGCAUCA
rnacentral:lncRNA from 1 species